rnacentral:rRNA from 1 species
GAUCUUGGCUCAGGAUAAACGCUAGCGGCAGGCCUAACACAUGCAAGUCAAGGGGCAUCGGAUAGAGUACUUCGGUACUCUUGCCGGCGACCGGCGGACGGGUGCGUAACGCGUAUGCAACCUACCUUCAACAGGGGGAUAAUCCGAAGAAAUUUGGUCUAAUACCCCAUAAUAUUCCGACAGGCAUCUGUCGGAGUUGAAAGCUUCGGUGGUUGGAGAUGGGCAUGCGUUGUAUUAGCUAGAUGGUG